GACUCAGUAGUCCAGUGGUAAGGCGCUCGUGGCGAAGCCAGAUGGUUAUGUGUUCGAUCCUCGAUGGAGUCA
rnacentral:tRNA from 1 species